rnacentral:rRNA from 1 species
UACGUAGGGUCCGAGCGUUGUCCGGAAUUAUUGGGCGUAAAGGGCUCGUAGGCGGUCUGUUGCGUCGGGAGUGAAAACUUACAGCUUAACUGUGAGCGUGCUUCCGAUACGGGCAGACUUGAGGUAUUCAGGGGAGAACGGAAUUCCUGGUGUAGCGGUGAAAUGCGCAGAUAUCAGGAGGAACACCGGUGGCGAAGGCGGCUUUCUGGACAGAUACCGACGCUGAGGCACGAAAGCUAGGGGAGCAAACAGG